rnacentral:rRNA from 1 species
UACGUAGGGACCAAGCGUUGUUCGGAUUUACUGGGCGUAAAGGGCGCGUAGGCGGCGCGGUAAGUCACUUGUGAAAUCUCUGAGCUUAACUCAGAACGGCCAAGUGAUACUGCAGUGCUAGAGUGUGGAAGGGGCAAUCGGAAUUCUUGGUGUAGCGGUGAAAUGCGUAGAUAUCAAGAGGAACACCUGAGGUGAAGACGGGUUGCUGGGCCAACACGUGACGCUGAGGCGACGAAAGCCAGGGGAGCAAACGGGG